rnacentral:rRNA from 1 species
UACAGAGGGUGCGAGCGUUGUCCGGAAUCACUGGGCGUAAAGGGCGCGUAGGUGGUUGGGGGAGCGUGUGGUGAAAGCCCGGGGCUCAACCCCGGGUCGGCCAUGCGAACUGCCCGACUGGAGCACGGUAGAGGCCAAUGGAAUUCCGGGUGUAGCGGUGGAAUGCGUAGAGAUCCGGAAGAACACCGGUGGCGAAGGCGGUUGGCUGGGCCGUGGCUGACACUGAUGCGCGACAGCGUGGGGAGCAAACAGG